UAGGAAUUUAACUUUGCAAAAUUGACCUUGCUAAGUCCUUCUCAAAUAAGCUUCUUGUUUUGUUUUUGUUUUUUCUUGAAUAUAUUUCAUUCAUCUCAGAGCUUGGGAAAAUGACCUCUCAAAAUUUAGAAGACUGGAUGUCACUGACUACCAAAUGAUGAUCACUUUUGAAUGAACAAAAAUCCUUCAGAACUAAGGUGUGGAUUACAAUGUUAUUGGUAGAGAUAAUUUUUAUGGUGUUGAAGAACGAUUAACCAAUUCAGGGUUGGUAUGUGAUCUGUGCCACAAUUUCCGUGGAAAAUAAGUUAGCUCUCUCUUUCUACAAAGACAUGAUUGUACAUCAGUGGCACAAAUGAGAAAGGGCUAAUAACAUUUUGGCCCUGACUACCAAGUGUGCAUCUCUUACUUAGUUUUGCUUGUUACCUACAGCUACAAAACUCUGAAAUUUGGCAAAUUGAUGGAAAUAAACCCAAAGUACCUUAUACUGUUUCCUAGAACAUUUACAAAGAAUACUAAACAUCUUAUUGAGAAUGCAACGUUUCUUCCAAACGAUGAGGAAGAACACAAAAUUAUUUGUUCAACAAGUAUUUUUUGACCGCCUAUGCUAUGGGCAAUGGAUACAAAAAUAAAAAUAGGACAUGAUCCCUGCCUGCAGAAGGCUUCAAGCCCUGUCAUGGAGAUAGACACAACACGAGAUAGUAAAAUAGGCUAAGGACUUGUUAGAAGGAUGCACUCAUGAGAGCAGAGAAGAGAAGAGAAUCCAACUCAGGACAAGGAACGGAGGCUACAAGGAAAUUUUUUGAAGGUGAUGCCUGAGUGAAGUACUUACAGAAUGGAAGAGUAGGUAUUGUGUAGAUAAAAAUCAGGGGGGUUAACCUUUUAAUAAUGGGACAGCUUAUGCAGAGUCCUGUGGUAGGGCACUCCACAGUCUAUGCAGGAAAUUUCAGUGGGAAAGUCCUUUACAGAUGGAGUCAGGAGCAGCCACCAGGUCACUGAGGCCCUCUGGCAUCCUGCUAAGGCAGUGGCUCUUAAACAACAACAAAAAAGUUUGGUUUUACUUUUAUUUAACUUUGACAGUGACAUGGUUAGAUGCAUAUUUCAGGUAGGUUUCUAGUGGUUAGGUGGGAAGCAAGACUGCAGCUCUUUCUGUAGGUACUGUUCUGGAGAACCCCAAACAAAGAUGAGGGCCUGAAAAUCGGCACUGCCUGAGGCCAGAGGUAGAAUUUAUUGUCAGACUUCCACAACUCUGUAGAAAAGUACUGAAAGUGGGCAUCCUUGUCUUCUCCCUGAACCCAGAGAAAAGCUGUCAACAUGUCACCACUGAGAUAGAUCUCAAACUCUGGCUUCUGGCUUAGUGUUUAUAGCAAAUCCUGUGAUCAAUGGAAAUACAGUGGAAGUGACGCUGUCCAAAUCCAGGAGUAGUCCUUUAGAGAAACUGGAGGCUUCUUCAUGUUCCUGCCUCACAUACACACUUCUUCUGUUGUUUUCUCUUCAAUUCAGCAAUGGUGCUAUGAGAAGCUCAUACAUCAAAGAAAAGACAUGUGUAAGCACUUGGAUCAUAGCCCCAGAUGACACUCAGUCGAUAGAAAACAUUGACUGGCAUCCAUGUUGGUGAAACAGCUUGGACAUGCAGCCUUUCCCAGAUGAGAUGGGUCCAACCACUUCUGACUGCAAACGCAUGAGCAACCUUAAGCAAGGACUGCCUAGCUCAUUCCCAUCUACCCACUCAACUACGAGAGAUGACAAAUCAUCGUCUUAAGUCACCAAGUUUUGGCAUCAUUUGUUAAACAAUAAACCAGAACACCCACUGAAAAGGCCAUCUGAUAUUUUUGGAACAUUUUCCCUAAAUUUGGAUCAAUCUGCACGUUCUAAAAAGUGCCUUUUCA
rnacentral:lncRNA from 1 species